CAUCUAUUCAGUUACUUCUCAAAACUGAAUGAAUAAACCAAAAACAUCCCAGCAACUUAAUACAUUUAGGCAUCUGGAGGUUGUAAACAUGGCUUGCUAAAGUUCAGGCUGAGUAUUAAAAUGAAGAACACUUUUGAGUCACUUUAAAUGUGGUAAUGUUUUUUUUAUGACACUAUUGACCUUUUUUGAACAGUAAAUGAACAGGAAAUAGGGAGAAGAAAGAAGGGAAAGACAUGCAGCAAAUGACCCGAGAACAGAACCAAUGACAAUCAAUGGAGGAUCACAACAACCACAUGGUACCAACUGGGCCUCUUAGCACCCCAAGCAUGGGGGUUGGUCCUGAACCAGUCAGAGUAUUUUAGGAGCUGCUGAUCUUCUGGGAUUUUCAAAAAUAAUCUGUUGUUGGGUUUACAGAGAACAGUUUAAGUAAGCAAUUGUGCAGGUAAAAAAAAGAAAAGCAUUGCUUUGCAAAAAUGUUUGUCAGAGAUAAGAGGACAUUGUUUUAGACUGAGCAUUUGCCUAAAUAACCACUUGGUAAAACCAAAGAAAUCCAGUCCUUAGAAACUGACUGCACAUUGCAUGUUAAAACUUUUUUGUUAAAGCAGAGUGAAAAUAUCUUCAGCUAAGAACAAGUAACAGAGAAUAGAAAUCACACAGGUUGAGCAAAAUUGGACAAUGAUAGAACAGAAAAAUGUUGUCUGGCAUAAGUAAUAAGUUACUUAUUAAGUAACUUCUUAAUAAGUUACUUAUUAAGAAGUUGAUAAGUAACUUUUUAGCAAGUUACUGAUUAAGAAAUAAGUAAAUUCCUUACUUUUUUCUUAAGUAAGGAAGUUACUUAAGAAAUAAGUAACUUCCUGGAUAUUAUUGCAUCCAGCAGUCCUUGUGCAGUCUUGUCCUAUUGAUUUGGCUGAUUGGUGGUGAGCUCCAUUCCUUCCAUUACUUCAUGGCAUUUCAAAUCAAACAUUUACCACAAUGUUAGGAUAUCAUGCAGCAAACCCACUUGUUUGGCAUCAGGACAUGAAGAUAUUUAUAGUCACCACCACUAGUAUUUCCUCUUACAUAUCCUGCUUCUUAUUUUUGGGUUUAGAUGCUGCCUAUAUUCUUGCAACUAUAAAUAAUCCAUCUUUUUAUCAAGGUAACGAACAUGAUUGGGAAGAAGACAGACGGAGUAGUUGGGUGCCUGUUUUAUUAGUCUUUGGUUAUCACAAUGGGUCUUUUAUUUAUUUAUUUAUUUAUUUUUUUACUUUUUUAUGAGUUUCCAAUAAUGUUUUAAAGCUGAAACAUCUUGUUCUGAGAUGAAAAUAUAAAGUCUCAGAUAUUUCAGGCCCAUAUUUAUCUGCUGUGCUUUAGCUCUGUCUUUAAAAAGGAUUCUCUGCAGGAAAAUCAUUCAUGUUAAGUUUUUUAUCUCUGACUUGUCAAUCUCCUGCUACUGCCAAGGCUUAAAUUUUGCUAUUAGUGACUUUAUUUUGUUUUUGCACCUGAGUAACGUCUUGGGGUAUCUUCCUGCUCUUACUCAAGGUCAAAUUCACCUGAAUAAUUCUGUCUUCUGAGUCUGUAAAACUUUGCAUAUUUUGGAGACAGGCAGAUCAAAUCAAGUCAAAGUUUAAUUUAGAGAAAUUUACAAACAUUAAGACAAAUUAGGCUCUUUAACUAUGAAUAACUGUUCACAUAGUUUUUCAUGCUAAUCUUUACUGAAAAACAAAGGAUGUGCAAAUGUCUGUUAUGUUUCACAGCAGUUUUAUUUUUAGCCAUAUGUUUGUUAUCAGCAAGAUAACUAACAUGCGUUUGCCAAUGAAAGCUACCUUUGACAAUAUUGACAUAAGUGCACAUUUUUUACUCGCAUUUCUAAUAUACACCCAACACCUUUUGCCAUUGUCCUUAAAUGUGAAAUCAGAAAAUCUGAAACACUUCAAAAUAAUAAAGGCAUAUGUGAGGAAAUAAUGAGGUUAGGCGAUUUCUUCAGUGCACUAGAAAAGAAAUCACUUGUUCUGUUUCAGCCUGGAGGAGCGGAUUUACCGUUUAUCUAUACUGAUAAGAGUUUUGAAGUCAGACAGACUGCACUCAAUGUCUCAGCAGGCAUCAGACAGAUUGGCAGCUUGUUCUUCAUCUCGUCACUUUUCUACAGAGCAUCCAUGCUGAGCUCCAGGUACAAAGGGCGUCUCAGAGUUGAUGUGAUUGAAACUUCUGGAUAACAUCAUGCUACACAGAGUUGAGAAGGACAGGUUCAACCUUAAUGGAUUUGCUUGAGACAAAGAUGACCCAAGGCACUCGCCCUUUGCUUGUUUGUCUGAAUAAAAUACAUACAUAUUGUAUUUUAACAUAUUUGUAACUUUCUGAACUGAUGGACUUUUAACCUGUCCAGGGACUAAUGUGCAACCGUUUGCCUUGAAAACAGAUAACUGAUGCAAGAAAAGUUUAUUUUUUUAAAAUUUGAAUAAGAGAAAAACAUGCUAAAUGUUACUGUCAGAAAUGAUUGUUAGUCGCAGUGCUGUAUUUAAGGCAUUUAUGAAUCUGAUAAAAAGAUUAUCCUAAUGAUCAUUGUUCACAAUGCUGUAGCAUGUACAUAUAUGAUUGAUGUGUUUGCAACAUAGCACCACACAGUUUUACAUAAUGAAUGGUACAACAGCAAUAAGUCAGUCAUAUUUCUUAAAAUGCAAACAGAUUCCAUCUCAUUCAGCAAAAACUUUAGUGAUACAAAAAUAUAAAAGUAAAAUAUAACUGGUAAAAAAAUCAAAUAAACCAAAAGAAAACCUGAAGUGGCUUUAUCCUACAUCUCUUUGCCUGUAACACAAUGUCAGAUGUCCUACAAGAGUCAUUGGUUGCAUGAAAAUAUGCAUAAAGUAUGGGUUACAAGAUUACUUUUUCUUUGAAGUCUUGAAUAUUUUUGAGAAAAAAAAACAAAAUACAAUCCUGUGAUAAAAGCAGCAGAGAGGAAUAUGCAGUAGAGUACAGAACGAGCAGACAAAGUUAAGAGACCUUGAUGUUAGUAUUCAAUGAAAACAGUCCACCUAUCAUAGUGCAAAGAGAUCUUAGGCUGACUAGAUAUUUCACACAAUUUUCACUAGAACAUAUAAGAAGUCUCAGUUUUUAGUAAAUUCCAUGUUAAAUGUGACUCAGAUCACUGAGGUUUAUGACUUCCUGAAGAACAUAAGCCAACCAGCAAAACUAGAUCUUGUUCAGGCUUCACUGU